rnacentral:rRNA from 1 species
UACGUAGGGGGCUAGCGCUGUCCGGAAUCAUUGGGCGUAAAGCGCGCGUAGGCGGCCAGAUAAGUCCGGUGUGAAAGUCAAAGGCUCAACCUUUGAAUGCCGCUGGAAACUGUCUGGCUAGAGUCCGGAAGGGGCGAGUGGAACUCCUGGUGUAGCGGUGAAAUGCGCAGAUAUCAGGAAGAACACCAAUGGCGAAGGCAGCCCGCUAGGACGGUACUGACGCUGAGGCGCGAAAAGCGUGGGGGAGCAAACAGG